UCUUUUGUUGAGAUAGGCCCAUGAUUGAUUACUUGUAUCAAAGAAAAGUGAGAAGCUUAUAAGUUCAUUUCUUUCAGGUUUGCUAUCGGAAAACGACAGUUACGACUUCCCUACGAAGUUAUAUAUGCUGAAGCCAUAACCGGAUACCACAUUUAAAACAGGCAAACAUGAUCAGCUUUGUCAUUUGCAGUUGAAAGCAGUUUAAAGCAACUAACAAUUUAUUUUUUAACUCUCAAAUCAAAAUUUCAAAUUUUAUACUUAUUGAAGUAUGUUAAGGUAUCACUACCCUCAGUUCUUGAAGGUUGUCACAUACAAGGACUGAUCUAAAAUUAACCAGCAAGAUAAAAAUUUCCCAUACCAGGGCCUUGGGUUCCAUGCUAAUAGUUGAAAGCCUCCUUGCCCUGGCUUAUGUAGAGUUUUUACCAUUUCUACGUUUGUAUCUCUUUACACGAUUAUGACAGUAACUUCUUACUAACAUCUAGAGGUACCACAGUAUGUCAGAGUCGUAAAUGACAUAGGUGUUGGUUGAUGAAAAGGUCA
rnacentral:lncRNA from 1 species